UUUUCCUCUCAACACAAUCAAGAACAACGUUAUUGCUAAGCAACCAUCGAAACGAAAGCUCUCACUCAGUCACGGUCUCGCUCUCAAUCGAUCUCGCUUUCAAUCGAUCUCGCUCUCACUCUCUUCGUUUUCUAUCUCCUCUUUUCAAUUUCCCGCUCUCAUUAUAUCUCAAUCUUUUCCCUUUGUUACUUUUUUUUUGUUUGUGUGGCUAUUUUCUGUUUCUUUGAUUCUUUUUUAAGGUUUUUUGAAUAUUAGUGGAAUCAGUGAUGGACUCGCCACCGCAUUCUCCGAUUUCAUCAUCGUCUCAUACGGCGGUCACUCUGUCACCUCCACCUCCACCUGCACCGAAAAAGAAACCCCAACAGUUUAUGGGAAGGUUAAUUUUGCACUCAUUAGAAGAGCUUACCGAAUUGUUUAAGGAAAUUUUUUCUAAUGGAAGAGAACAGCGAAGAAGCAUUGAAUGCUGAGAGAGAAAGGAAAAUGCGCAUUUUGAUGUCACUGCGUUAGUGUCUUGUCUUGGUGACUCUGGUCAGUGGUGUGGGUAUGAUUUUAUUUCUCUGUUUCAUUAUUUCUUCAAAUUUACAUUUGGUAAGAAUGUAAAUUAAUACAUUUGAUGUCAAAAUAUGUGUCUGCGUUUUCCUUAAAUGCCUUUUUUAUGCAAAAAUAUGCCUUUUAUGUUAGAUUUUUUAUGCCUUAUAACUUGAACUUUUAAGGAUAAGUCUGCUUCUCUCGGGAAAAAAGUAUAAAUUUUUUUCCUUUUAAUUGUUGAUGAUUCUCAUUCUGUAAUCAAUAAUAAAUCUCUUAAAUUAGUUGUGUUUUUCUCAAUUAUUAUUUGUAUUGUUUGACUAAGCAAAUUGUGAAGGUCUGGUGGAGGUUAUGAAUUAUGAUCCUUAUUAUAUAAGUUUACACAGGGGUAUCUAAGGUAUGUUCUCUUGUUAACCAAAACUAUUUUGAAUCCAUAACUAACUUGUUCGUUGGAGUUUUUGCAAGUACUGCACCCUUUCUUUGCUCAAUCAGUCUUGAGGCCAUUAGAGGUAUUGUGAAGACAAUCAAUUUAGAGUCUUCAACCGCAAUUCUGUUGGGCUGCAUCCCUUCAAAUUUUGACAAGAACAGUCAUGAAAGUCAGAGCAAUUAUGAAUAGGAAUUGUUUGGAAAGAGCACUGCCUCCUCUAGUGGUGCUGCUCUACAUGAUAACUUUACUAUUGCUUACAUCAAAUGACGACUUUACAAACUCAGUUCACAAAAAGUACAUCAGAAAUGAGGUGCAAAUUUGGAGCAUUAGGAUGUUAGAAUAUUUCUUGUCCGUGGUAGUGUUACAAUAUUGUUCUCUUAGUUAAAUAUUAUUCGGUUUGAAGGCUUGUUAGGAGCAGCAGGGUGCUGCGAUGUCUUAACUAUGGCUCACAAGUAUACGGGCAGUAUGGAAAUAUAGAAACAGUAUGAUAUUUGCUCAAGAAGAUUUUAUUUGGGAGAAGGUUGUGGACAAUGUCAAAGUUCUAUUGUGGAAAAUACUGUUCACGAUGUUCAAAGGAUUUAGGUUCUCAUUUGCACAACGGUGUAAUAAUCCUUUAGUUUGUCUUGGGGUUAUCUAUUUGAUCGAACAACAUUUUGGCAUAUGUGUUGACAGUAAAUCCUACUUCAGUUUAUCUACAUCAGGCAAUAUCAGUCCUAUGUUGAUUCCAAUCUAAUAAUCUUUGGGUUUGUGGUUGCAUAGGAGUGCAUGAAUUAUUGCAUGGUAGAUGUAUGGCAUUGUAUUAGGCUUUUACUGUUAUGUGUUUCCCAGUGGAGAUUAUUUUAGUGUGUUGUCCCUGUUGACCUGAUCUUAGCAUUCCUUGUGCUAGGAUUAGAUGUUGUUUAAUACAUUUUUCUUUUUCAAAAUAAUAAUAUUAUUCAUUUGGUCUA